rnacentral:misc_RNA from 1 species
UCCCUUGAGUUAUGCUAUCAAAAUGUUUUUUGGUUCAAUCUUAGCAUUUGUUUUGCUUUUGUCCCCAAAAAUGAUCCUCGCAUUCAGGAACCAUGUGUUUUGAAGGUGAUAAGACUACACUACAAGAAGUUUCAUACAGGCUGCCUCAGAUAAUUAAGUACAUAAAGAUUGGGCAAGUUACACAUAGUCAUCUAGUAUUCUUCUUAAUGUAGUUGUUUUGUGUUUUGACUUGUUCCCAGAUGCAUGCGAGGCAAGAACUGACAAUCUGAGAUUUAAAUUUUUUACAUCGGGAUGCGGCUGUAAUUAGUGGAAUUCUUUCCAACAUUCUAUUAGCUUGUUCUCUCAAAUGCGCAAGUCCUGUUGACCAAAUAUUCUGAGUAGUUGCC